AUUGAACGCUGGCGGCAUGCUUUACACAUGCAAGUCGAACGGUAACAGGCCGCAAGGUGCUGACGAGUGGCGAACGGGUGAGUAAUGCAUCGGAACGUGCCCAGUCGUGGGGGAUAACUACUCGUAAGAGUAGCUAAUACCGCCUACGAUCUAUGGAUGAAAGCGGGGGACCGUAAGGCCUCGCGCGAUUUGCGCGGCCGAUGUCAGAUUAGGUAGUUGGUGGGGUAAAGGCUCACAAAGCCAACGAUCUGUAGCUGGUCUGAGAGGACGACCAGCCACACUGGGACUGAGACACGGCCCAGACUCCUACGGGAGGCAGCAGUGGGGAAUUUUGGACAAUGGGCGCAAGCCUGAUCCAGCAAUGCCGCGUGCAGGAAGAAGGCCUUCGGGUUGUAAACUGCUUUUGUACGGAACGAAACGGCUCUGGUUAAUACCCGGGGCUAAUGACGGUACCGUAAGAAUAAGCACCGGCUAACUACGUG
rnacentral:rRNA from 1 species